rnacentral:rRNA from 1 species
AACCCGGUUGAUCCUGCCGGACCCGACCGCUAUGGGGGUGGGACUAAGCCAUGCAAGUCGCGCGCCCCGGGCAACGGCGGGGCGCGGCGGACGGCUCCGUAAAACGUGGCUAACCUACCCUCGGGACGGGGAUAACCCCGGGAAACUGGGGCUAAUCCCCGAUAGGAGAAGAGACCUGGAAGGGCUCUUCUCCGAAAGGGCGCUAAGGCCAUGCCCCUUAGCGCCGCCCGAGGAUGGGGCCACGGCCCAUCAGGUAGUUGGUGGGGUAACGGCCCACCAAGCCUAUAACGGGUACGGGCCGUGAGAGCGGGAGCCCGGAGAUGGGCACUGAGACAAGGGCCCAGGCCCUAUGGGGCGCAGCAG